UACGGGGGGGCAAGCGUUGUUCGGAAUUACUGGCGUAAAGGGCUCGUAGGCGGCCAACUAAGUCACGCGUGAAAUCCCUCGGCUCAACCGGGAACUGCGUGUGAGACUGGAUGCUUGAGUUGGGAGAGGAAUGCGGAAUUCCAGGUGUAGCGGUGAAAUGCGUAGAUAUCUGGAGGAACACCGGUGGCGAAGGCGGUGGUCUGGGCCGGCACUGACGCUGAGGAGCGAAAGCGUGGGGA
rnacentral:rRNA from 1 species